UAUUCAUAGAUUCCAGACAUUGUAUAGAAGAACAUUGUGAAACUCCCUGUCCUGUUCUGUUUCUCUCUGACCACCGGUACAUGCAGCCCCUGUCAUGUACCGCCUGCUUGCUCAAAUCAAUCACGACCCUUUCAUGUGAAAUCUUUAGUGUUAUGAGCCCUUAAAAGGGACAGAAAUUGUGCAUUCGGGGAGCUUGGAUUUUAAGGCAGUACCUUGCCAAUGCUCCCAGCUGAAUAAAGCCCUUCCUUCUACAACUAGGUGUCUGAGAGGUUUUGUCUGCGACUCGUCCUGCUACAUUUCUUGGUUCCCUGACCAGGAAGCGAGGUGACUGACGGACGGCCGAGGCAGCCCCUUAGGUGGCUUAAGCCUGCCCUGUGGAGCAUCCCUGAGGGGGACUCUGGCCAGCCUGAGUGAUGUGGUCCGAAGAGCGCUUGGGUAGGAAAUUGCCCCUGUGGAAUGCCUCGUCAGAGCAGCGCAUAGCAGGCCCCCACGGAGGAUUAACACAGUGGCUGAACACUGGGAAGGAACUGGCCCUUGGAGUCCAGACAUCUGAAACUUGAUGCAGAAAGCAAUAUUUAACUGAUCAGCUGCCACUCACAUCAUGAAUCAGAAGCAGCCUUAAAAGAAAGGAUCCCUUCUUGCUAUUUUGAAGGGAAAUAACUGAGUCCUUUGGAGCUGAAAAUGAAAAACUGAGUAGCUGGUGGAAGAAGCGAGAUGGGUUUGGAACUCACAGGCUAUGUUUCUGGAUGCAUCACAUUUGCAAGAGGGAAGUUUUGGUGUCCCUGUGGGUAUAUUAGCACUCCUUUACUCCAUUUCUCUGUAGCUACUCAAGCAAGUGACAAGUAAGUAUGUUGAGACCACAUGUGACAUAUAAAUUACAAGUUCUCCUGCCCCUCUAAAAGUUUAUUCAGCAUCAACCUUUGCACCAACACACUAAGGCAUAAUAGCUGAUAAUUUAUGAGUGUAAUUUGAAGGAAGCAAUUCUGUUUUGUGAUUAUGGUAGUAAAUAAAAGAUUCAAAUCCUCAUUGACACACCAUGAAAUUCAGCUUUACUUUUUUUUUUUUAACCUUGAUAUUGUUUAUGGAAAGAAGGCUGCAGAGUCCAAGAAAGGUGACAGAUAUGAAGAAAUGCAGUGGUUGCAAAGGACAAAGACAAUGGCAACACAAAUAAAAGAAAUUAUGAGAAGGAAAUAAAUAUUAAAAAAAAAACCCAAACGUUUGUUGAUGUAAACUGAAAAUAAAUUUGGAAUGAGCUGUGUGCACUUGGAAAUGAGAAGCUCUGUCCUGCACCAUGAAGGGCUUUGUGUGCAUCCAUGGGUUGCUUCUGCAUGCAGAAUGAGACUGGAACAAAAAAGAACCAUUUAAAACACAGGAUCCAGGUGAUUCAGGAUUUUAAAUUGAAGAUUGAUCAUACAAGCUGGAAGACGUCCCAUGACACUUUAUUUGAAAUUGGAACAUCAGAAUUUGGUUGGGUCUAUCUUUUACUAACUCUGUACCAUGAAAAAAUUAUUUAAUAUUUCUGAACUGUGUAAAGAAUAAAAUUAGAUUAUGAAUUCAAUCUGUUGCUGCAUAAUCAAUUACCUCCAAUCUUAGCAGCUUCAAACAACAAACAUAAAUAAACUUAGUUUCUGCAGCUCAGGAAUUCAGGAGUUUAGCUAGAUGGUUCUGGCUUGGAGUCUUCCAUGAGGUUGCCAUCUAGAGGUCAGCCAAGGCUGCAGUCAUUUGAAGGUUUGACUGGGGCUUGAGAAUUCACUCUCAUGGCUAGUCACAUGUUCACUUCUGUGUUGGCUGUUGGCAGGAAUUUUCAGAACCUUGCCAUGUGGGUCUCUCCAUAUGGCUGCUUAAGCAUCCUCAUGACACGUCAGCUGGUCUCCCCAGUGGGAGUGAUCGAAGAGACAGAAGCAAGAAUGUCUUCAAUGACCUACCCUUGUAAGUCACAUACCUCACUUUCACCUAAUCCUCAAAAGGAGAGAGUUAGACUCCACCUUUUGGAGGCAAGAAUGUCAAAGAAUUUGUGGACAUAUUUCAAAACCAUCACUGGAUCAUAUAUGUGAAAAUAAACACUUACAAAAAAUAAAGUGCUAUAAAUGGGAUACAUUCAGAUAAGGAACCCUUCUUUCAAUGCCAUCCCAGAAUUCCCUCAGCUUAAUUCUCCCAGAAGCUUCAAGACCUUCUAAAAUUGUUUGGGCUUGGUCUUUAUAGUCUGGAGGCACCAAAAGCCUGAGAUUUGUAUAGAUUAAGGAAGAAUCAGAAUCUAAGAGACAUUAAAUGACUAGCCAAAGAUCACACUGCUAGUUGGUGGAAGUCCGAGGAGUUUGUCCUAAGUGUGCCUAACUUCAAAUCCCCUCAUCUUAAUCAUUGUGUCACAUCAUGUCAUAAAAAUGGAUGAAAGAAGAAAGAAGACACAAACACCCAGUAUUAUUUUAGGACAAUUUCAUGGCAUUAAGUGUGGAUUUUCGUUUUAGCUAACAUUUUCAUGAAGGAAAAUCUUUGAGGAUGUUCUCUCCAUUAAAAAAAGAAGGAAAAAAACUCAAGAUAAUUAUAGAUUUACAUGCAGUUGUAAAAGUUAGUAAUGUAAAGAGAAGGCUUGUACACUUUGCCUAAUUUCCCCAGUGGUAACUUUUUUAGAGCUAUAGUAUGAUAUCACAACCAGGAUAUUGACAUCAGUCAAUCCACUGAUCUUAUUCAGUUUUCCUAAGUUUACUCUUUAAUGUGUGUGUGAAGUUCUACACAAUUUUAUUACUCGUAUAAGUUCGUGUAUCAUCACCCUGGUUAAAAUACUGAGGGGUUCCAGUGCCACAAGGAUCCCUCCUAUUCUUUUUGAGCCACACCCAUUCCCCUUCUUCCCCAAUUUCUCCACCUCCCUUUCUAACUAUCUGCCACUAGUCUGUCCUCCAUUUCUAAAAUUUUGUCAUUUCAAAAAUUUAAUAUAAGUGGAAUUAUGUAGUAUACAACAAUUUGGAGUUUUGUUUUUGCUCAACAUGAUUUCCUAAAGAUUCAUUCAAGUAGUUCUGUAUAUCGAUAGUGUAUUUCUUUUUAUUGCUGAGUAGUAUUACAAUUUUGUUUAACCAUUCAACUCUUUUUUGUUAGUUUCUUUUUGUUUUUGAGAUGGAGUCUGUUGCCCAGGCUGGAAUGCAGCAGCGCGAUCUCUGCUCACAGCAACCUCUGCCUCCUGUGUUCAAGCUAUUCUCCAGCCUCAGCCUCCUGAGUAGCUGAGAUUACAGGCGUGAGCCACAGCGCCCACCCUAGCCAUUCAACUCUGAAGCACAUCUGGGUUGAUACCAGUUUUGGGCUGUUACAAUAAAACUUCUAUGAACAUUCACGCACAAAUUUUUGUGGGAACAUACGUUUUCAUUUCUCUAGGAUAGAUGUACAGGAAUAAAAUUCUGGGUCAUAUGGUAGUUGCAUGUUUAAAUAUUUAAGAAACUGCUAAACUGCUUUCCAGAGUGUCUGUACCAUUUCACAGUCCUAAAAGCGAUGUAUGAAUGAUCCAGUUUCACCAUUUCCUCAUCAGCAUUUGGUGUUGUAAUUCUCAUUUUAAUAAUGCUUAUAGAUGUGUGGUGAUAUCUCAUUAUGGUGUUCAUUUGUAUUUCUCUAAUGACCAAUAAAUAUUUAACAUAUUUCCAUG